GUGUCAGCAGCCGCGGUAAUACCGGCAGCCCAAGUGAUGGCCGAUCUUAUUGGGCCUGAAGCGUCCGUAGCUGGCCACGCAAGUCUAUCGGGAAAUCCGCGCGCUCAACGCGCGGGCGUCCGGUGGAAACUGUGUGGCUUGGGACCGGAAGACCUGAGGGGUACGUCCGGGGUAGGAGUGAAAUCCCGUAAUCCUGGACGGACCGCCAAUGGCGAAAGCACGUCGCGAGGACGGAUCCGACAGUGAGGGACGAAAGCCAGGGCCUCGAACCGGAUUAGAUACCCUCGUAGUCC
rnacentral:rRNA from 1 species